rnacentral:lncRNA from 1 species
UCCGGUAUUAGAGAACUUAAACAUAAACUAAUAAAAUUGGCAACCGUGUGCGUAACCGUGACUGUCGCUUCGAAGAUCUCUCUUCGAUCGGGAACACGGUGGGGUUAUGAAUGCCGUAGGUAGGUGUUCAGGAUCACUUACUGAUCAAGUAGUUCUGACCGCUAGUGUAGACCACCUUCAUUUCUACUUUGCGUAAGUUAGCCACCUAAUCAAGCUUAGGAUGAUGCAGCCUGAUACACUUCACCCUUACCCUACCUAAUAACAUGACUAGUUCUGGC